AUGGUUGAUGAGCCUAAGCAUAAAGAAGAGGGGAAGGAAAGUAUUUCUAAGAUCAAGAGACAAUUUGGAUUAUCACAUCCUGUGUAUGUUAGCUCUAAGCCCAGCCAAGCCCCAUGCCCUCCACUUCAGGGACAGAGAAGCAGUGACAUCACAGGAAAAACCACCAACCAGGGCCAAGGAGACCUGAGCCCAGCACCUCACCCAGAGGACCCCAGUCAGAGGCCCCAUCUCAGACCUGAGGCUAGCAUGGGCUGCAGGCUGCUCUGCUGUGCGGUUCUCUGUCUCCUGGGAGCGGUCCCCAUGGAAACGGGAGUUACACAGACACCAAGACACCUGGUCAUGGGAAUGACAAAUAAGAAGUCUUUGAAAUGUGAACAACAUCUGGGGCAUAACGCUAUGUAUUGGUACAAGCAAAGUGCUAAGAAGCCACUGGAGCUCAUGUUUGUCUACAGCUUUAAAGAACAGACUGAAAACAACAGUGUGCCAAGUCGCUUUUCACCUGAAUGCCCCAACAGCUCUCACUUAUUCCUUCACCUACACGCCCUGCAGCCAGAAGACUCGGCCCUGUAUCUCUGUGCCAGCAGCCAAGACACAGCCUUGCAGAGUCACCGCUUUCCUGUGCAGAAACCUUAG